CGACACUGCUUGCUAGCGGGUGGCAAAAAGUCCACUUCCCCGACAACUUGCCACCCUACGAAUUUCAUGGAGGUGGAAUAUGGUCAUGGAACAUUUUUUUUUGCGACGCGACCCUCGGAGGGGUGGGGGGUUUGCUUCAAUAUUUGUCCAGUGAGCUGCGAGGAGACAAAAUAGCCCAUCUGAUAAUGCCAAAGUGGUCGAAUUUACAUCACGCAGGAGACAAUGCACCGGAAAAGCACAACAGAAGAGAAUCAUCGUAUCACUCGCAAGCCAACGAAACAUCUCAUCAGUUUCCACUAUGAAAAUGAUGACAGCACAGAUUGAAAAACUUGUGUCCUUGUGUGUCUUUUUUUUUUUUUUUUGCAAACUGGGCAAUUCUGCUGCAGUUUAUCACUCAGUUGAGAGAGACAGCCUUCCAAGACGAAUGGCUGCUUGGAUGCGUGCGUAGGAAAGGCCGAUGCAGCAGGCCCAGAUGUACUAUGAGGAGAUGAUGGGUGUGCAUAAGGUAGUAGCGACCAAACUGGCGCCGCUUUAUGCUGACUCUCCACACAUCAGUCCACAGCAAUCUGGGGCUAAUCAAUCUCAAGUUGGAGACAGCAAGUACAUAAGCAAGAGUAAACACUAAUAGCAGUAGUAACAUCGCUCCUGAUGUGGUACAACUGGAAACAUGACCACGGUCUGCUGUCACAGAAUUUAUUUUUGUCUCUACAGCAUUUUUUUAUACUAUUAAAAUCUGAGAGGUGUAUGUUCAAUUUUGUCAUUGAAGUGAAAAGAGUUUUGUAA